AUUGAACGCUGGCGGCAGGCCUAACACAUGCAAGUCGAGCGGCAGCGGGAAGUAGUUUACUACUUUGCCGGCGAGCGGCGGACGGGUGAGUAAUGUCUGGGAAACUGCCUGAUGGAGGGGGAUAACUACUGGAAACGGUAGCUAAUACCGCAUAACGUCUUCGGACCAAAGUGGGGGACCUUCGGGCCUCACGCCAUCGGAUGUGCCCAGAUGGGAUUAGCUAGUAGGUGGGGUAAUGGCUCACCUAGGCGACGAUCCCUAGCUGGUCUGAGAGGAUGACCAGCCACACUGGAACUGAGACACGGUCCAGACUCCUACGGGAGGCAGCAGUGGGGAAUAUUGCACAAUGGGCGCAAGCCUGAUGCAGCCAUGCCGCGUGUGUGAAGAAGGGCAAUGCCGCUUGUAAAGCUCUUUCGUCGAGUGCGCGAUCAUGACAGGACUCGAGGAAGAAGCCCCGGCUAACUCCGUGCCAGCAGCCGCAGUAAAAC
rnacentral:rRNA from 1 species